rnacentral:lncRNA from 1 species
UAAACUUUGCCAAAAAGAUCCACUUAAAAAGAUAACUACAAUUGGUCCAAACACAACUAAAUUUUAGUAAACUCUGAACAGUCAACUUGUAAAUCAAGAAAAAACUUCUUCGAUUUUGCAACUUGUACUUUCCAGCAUAGACUUCUUUUCCCUUCUUCAAUUGUGCAACUUGCACUUUCCAGCAUAAACUUCUUUUCCCUCUACGUAGAUCACCAAGAACGAACUCAUUUUGGAACAAUUGGAAAUCCAUCUGUCUCUUUUCAAUUUUCAGAACUUUGUAGGCUAUUGAUGAUCGUAAUGGUUUUUGGAAUUUGAUUUUUGGAUCUUUUGUGUUUUGAUCUUAGGUUGAGCAAGAAAAUAAUGGAAUUAAUGUUUGAUCUUCAAUAGGAUAUUC